rnacentral:sRNA from 1 species
GAUUAUUUUUGUUACAUUACAAAAUGGUUCUGAAUAUGGCUUGAACCUUAGCAGGGAGACAGAUGAGAAACUCGACUGGUGCUCUAAUCCUCCCCGGCCUC